GAGGAGCUUGCUCUUCGUGGAUGAGUUGCGAACGGGUGAGUAACGCGUAGGUAACCUGCCUUGUAGCGGGGGAUAACUAUUGGAAACGAUAGCUAAUACCGCAUAACAAUAGGUGACACAUGUCAUUUAUUUGAAAGGGGCAAUUGCUCCACUACAAGAUGGACCUGCGUUGUAUUAGCUAGUAGGUGAGGUAACGGCUCACCUAGGCGACGAUACAUAGCCGACCUGAGAGGGUGAUCGGCCACACUGGGACUGAGACACGGCCCAGACUCCUACGGGAGGCAGCAGUAGGGAAUCUUCGGCAAUGGGGGCAACCCUGACCGAGCAACGCCGCGUGAGUGAAGAAGGUUUUCGGAUCGUAAAGCUCUGUUGUAAGUCAAGAACGAGUGUGAGAGUGGAAAGUUCACACUGUGACGGUAGCUUACCAGAAAGGGACGGCUAACUACGUGCCAGCAGCCGCGGUAAUACGUAGGUCCCGAGCGUUGUCCGGAUUUAUUGGGCGUAAAGCGAGCGCAGGCGGUUUGAUAAGCCUGAAGUUAAAGGCUGUGGCUCAACCAUAGUUCGCUUUGGAAACUGUCAAACUUGAGUGCAGAAGGGGAGAGUGGAAUUCCAUGUGUAGCGGUGAAAUGCGUAGAUAUAUGGAGGAACACCGGUGGCGAAAGCGGCUCUCUGGUCUGUAACUGACGCUGAGGCUCGAAAGCGUGGGGAGCGAACAAGAUUAGAUACCCUGGUAGUCCAC
rnacentral:rRNA from 1 species